CCGACACACAGAUAAAGGGUCAAGAAAAACCAGGAAGAGAGAGAGAUGGCUGGAAGGAUCUAUGAACCAUAGAGAAAGAGACAAUCUACAUUGGCUGGAUUUACCGUGUACGAGCUGGACUGUUUUGGACUUACCUGUUGGCGUUUAGCCUGGACCUACCGAGAACCAGAUUUGUGUACCGAACCCUGCUAUCCUUGACCUUGCCUGCGGCCUGGGUGGACUAGGACGGAGAAACAAACACACAGGUACUGUCAUGUUCGAAAUAACUUUCAUUCUGGGCUGAUUUUGGUGACAGUUUCCCACUUAAUUUGUGACAAACGCUCCUAACUUUGAAGAGGUUUGCCACAAUAUAUUUUAUAUUUGAGAUUCUUCGAAGUAGCCACCCUUUCCUUGAUGACAGCUUUGCACACUCUUGGGAUUGUGCAAAGGGACCAAAACGUCCCUUUGUGUGCUCCUACCACUUCUUUGACCAGAAGCCUACAGUGGAGCAUCCUUACCCAGAGAAAUGGAUUUGCUAUGAUGCUCCAAUCAUGAAGAAGCGUCGGGCGUUGGUCAGGCAGUCAUCAGUGACAGAUGACACAACAGGCUCAAGUGUUCACCAAAUUGAAAAUGGGGAUCAAGCAGUAAUGAGGGCUCUUUGAUAUUGCACCUGUCUGAAGACUUCCAGCUUGGUGGAGCGCCAUUUCUGUUCCAAUUUUCUGGAAGCUUGCUUCAGGGCUCUGGUAUUUUCUGUAUACCAGGGAGCACAUUUCUUGUGUCAAAUGUUUUUAGGGGUGCAACUGCAUCUAGGGUAUUGCACAAGGUUAAAUUGAGUUCAUCAGUUAGGUGGUUAACUGAUUUUUGUCCUCUGACGUCCUUGGGUAGGCAGAGGGAGUCUGGAAGGGCAUCAAGGAAUCUUUGGGUUGUCUGAGAAUUUAUAGCACGACUUUUGAUGAUCCUUGGUUGGGGUCUGAGCAGAUUAUUUGUUGCGAUUGCAAAUGUAAUAAAAUGGUGUUCCGAUAGUCCAGGAUUAUGAGGAAAAAUAUUAAGAUCCACAACAUUUAUUUCAUGGGACAAAACUAGGUCUAGAGUAUGACUGUGGCAGUGAGUAGGUCCGGAGACAUGUUGGACAAAACCCACUGAGUCGAUGAUGGCUCCGAAAGCCUUUUGGAGUGGGUCUGUGUACUUUUCCAUGUGAAUAUUAAAGUCAC
rnacentral:lncRNA from 1 species